UGAAGCAUGGUGUAAUGGUAGCACUUGGCACUUUGGAUGCCACAGAGAUAGUUCGAAUCUAUCUGCUUCAA
rnacentral:tRNA from 1 species